rnacentral:rRNA from 1 species
AUUGAACGCUGGCGGCAGGCCUAACACAUGCAAGUCGAGCGGAUGAGAGGAGCUUGCUUCUCGAUUCAGCGGCGGACGGGUGAGUAAUGCCUAGGAAUCUGCCUGGUAGUGGGGGACAACGUUUCGAAAGGAACGCUAAUACCGCAUACGUCCUACGGGAGAAAGCAGGGGACCUUCGGGCCUUGCGCUAUCAGAUGAGCCUAGGUCGGAUUAGCUAGUUGGUGAGGUAAUGGCUCACCAAGGCGACGAUCCGUAACUGGUCUGAGAGGAUGAUCAGUCACACUGGAAAUGAGACACGGUCCAGACUCCUACGGGAGGCAGCAGUGGGGAAUAUUGUACAAUGGGCGAAAGCCUGAUCCAGCCAUGCCGGGUGUGUGAAGAAGGUCUUCGGAUUGUAAAGCACUCUAAGUUGGGAGGAAGGGUUGUAGAUUAAUACUCUGCAAUUUUGACGUUACCGACAGAAUAAGCACCGGCUAACUCUGUGCCAGCAGCCGCCGUAACAC